rnacentral:lncRNA from 1 species
AGACUGACAUGUCAUGUGAAAUGAAAUGAAACAUGAAUAAAACAACCACUCUCAAUGAAGAGCUUCAUUUCAUAGUUUCAUAGGCAUUUAAUUUCAAGACUUAUAGAGAGUUGGUAAUCGUGCCAAGAGAGUUUCAUCUAGAUGAAACCCAUUUCUUCUCUCUCUACUUAAAUACAUUGCCAUGUCAUCAGAAAAGUCUAUGUAACAACCUAUUUAAUGCAAAUGAAACUCAUAUAAAACUCGAUUGAGAAUGGC